GUAGGUGGCAAGCGUUGUCCGGAAUUAUUGGGCGUAAAGCGCGCGCAGGCGGUUCUUUAAGUCUGAUGUGAAAGCCCACGGCUCAACCGUGGAGGGUCAUUGGAAACUGGAGAACUUGAGUACAGAAGAGGAAAGCGGAAUUCCACGUGUAGCGGUGAAAUGCGUAGAGAUGUGGAGGAACACCAGUGGCGAAGGCGGCUUUCUGGUCUGUAACUGUCGCUGAGGCGCGAAAGCGUGGGGAGCAAACAGGGAUUAGAUACCCUGGUAGUCCACGCCGUAAACGAUGAGUGCUAAGCGUUAGGGGGUUUCCGCCCCCUUAGUGCUGCAGCUAACGCAUUAAGCACUCCGCCUGGGGAGUACGGCCGCAAGGCUG
rnacentral:rRNA from 1 species